GCGCGGGUGUUGUAACUGGUAGCCAAGCGACACUUAAAAUGUCGUGCCCGAAAGGGCGUGUGGGUUCGAUUCCCACCCCGCGCACCA
rnacentral:tRNA from 1 species